rnacentral:misc_RNA from 1 species
ACGAGUUAGGGUCUCCAAGGCCCGACCUCCCAACCCUUUGGUUAACUGACCACUUGUUGCUUCGGCGAGCCCGUCUUCAGGGACCGCCGGAGGGCCGUCACACGCCCUCUGGCCCGCGCUCGCCGGUGGCCAACUAUGUAAAUUCUUUAACUAAACGUGUUAUUAUCUGAAUACUAUUUUAAAUAAAAGCA